rnacentral:rRNA from 1 species
GGUUAAGUUAUUAAGGGCGCAUGGUGGAUGCCUUGGCACUAGGAGCCGAUGAAGGACGUGACUAACUGCGAUAAGCUUCGGGGAGUUGUAAGUAAACUGUGAUCCGGAGAUUUCCGAAUGGGGAAACCCAGCAGGAGUAAAGACCUGUUAUCACUGAGUGAAUACAUAGCUCAGUUGAAGGUAGACGUGGGGA